rnacentral:rRNA from 1 species
GACGAACGCUGGCGGCAUGCCUAAUACAUGCAAGUAGAACGCAGUUGCGAACGGGUGAGUAACGCGUAGGUAACUGCCUCAGAGCGGGGGAUAACUAUUGGAAACGUUAGCUAAUACCGCAUACUGUGAGAUGGACCUGCGUUGUAUUAGCUAGUUGGUGAGGUAAAGGCGCACCAAGGCGACGAUAACUAGCCGACCUGAGAGGGUGAGCGGGACAACCGGGACGGGGACACGGCCCAGACUUCUACGGGAGGCAGUAGUAGGGAAUCUUCGGAAAUGGAACGAAGUCUGACUGCGCAAAGCCGCGGGAGGGAAGAAGGUUUUCGGAGCGGAAAGCUCCGUUGUGAGAGAAGCGGUAACUAACCAGAAAGGGACGGCUAACUACGUGCCAGCAGCCGCGGUAAUAC